CUCAUCAAAAUGUACUGUUGCC
rnacentral:siRNA from 1 species